GUGAGGAAUAUUGGACAAUGGACGCAAGCCUGAUCCAGCCAUGCCGCGUGCAGGAAGACGCAUCUAUGGUGUGUAAACUGCUUUUGUACGGGAAGAAACACUCCCUCGUGAGGGAGCUUGACGGUACCGUAAGAAUAAGGAUCGGCUAACUCCGUUCCAGCAGCCGCGGUAAUACGGAGGAUCCAAGCGUUAUCCGGAAUCAUUGGGUUUAAAGGGUCCGUAGGCGGUUUAAUAAGUCAGUGGUGAAAGCCCAUCGCUCAACGAUGGAACAGCCAUUGAUACUGUUAGACUUGAAUUACAAGGAAGUAACUAGAAGAUGUAGUGUAGCGGUGAAAUGCUUAGAUAUUACAUGGAAUACCAAUUGCGAAGGCAGGUUACUACUUGUGGAUUGACGCUGAUGGACGAAAGCGUGGGGAGCGAACAGGAUUAGAAACCCGUGUAGUCC
rnacentral:rRNA from 1 species